AGUGAACGCUGGCGGUAGGCCUAACACAUGCAAGUCGAACGGCAGCACAGUAAGAGCUUGCUCUUACGGGUGGCGAGUGGCGGACGGGUGAGGAAUACAUCGGAAUCUACUUUUUCGUGGGGGAUAACGUAGGGAGACUUACUCUAAUACCGCAUACGACCUACGGGUGAAAGCAGGGGAUCUUCGGACCUUGCGCGAUUGAAUGAGCCGAUGUCGGAUUAGCUAGUUGGCGGGGUAAAUGCCCACCAAGGCGACGAUCCGUAGCUGGUCUGAGAGGAUGAUCAGCCACACUGGAACUGAGACACGGUCCAGACUCCUACGGGAGGCAGCAGUGGGGAAUAUUGGACAAUGGGCGCAAGCCUGAUCCAGCCAUACCGCGUGGGUGAAGAAGGCCUUCGGGUUGUAAAGACCUUUUGUUGGGAAAGAAAAGCAGCAGGUUAAUACCCCGCUGUUCUGACGGUACCCAAAGAAUAAGCACCGGCUAACUUCGUG
rnacentral:rRNA from 1 species